AUUGAACGCUGGCGGCAGGCCUAACACAUGCAAGUCGAACGAGUGGCGGACGGGUGAGUAAUGUCUGGGAAACUGCCUGAUGGAGGGGGAUAACUACUGGAAACGGUAGCUAAUACCGCAUACCAUCAGAUGUGCCCAGAUGGGAGUAGCUAGUGGGGGGGGUAACGGCUCACCAAGGCGACGAUCCCUAGCUGGUCUGAGAGGAUGACCAGCAAAAAGGGAACUGAGACACGGUCAAGAAUCCUACGGGAGGAAGCAGUGGGGAACAUUGGACAAGGGGCGCAAGCCUGAUACAGCCAUGCCGCGUGUAUGAAGAAGGCCUUCGGGUUGUAAAGUACUUUCAGCGGGGAGGCGUUACCCGCAGAAGAAGCACCGGCUAACUCCGUGCCAGCAGCCGCGGUAAUAC
rnacentral:rRNA from 1 species